rnacentral:rRNA from 1 species
GGAAGUCUGCUGAGAGGUGGAUGUGCCCGAAAGGGAGCCAUAACACAGGUGCUGCAUGGCUGUCGUCAGCUCGGGUCGUGAGAUGUUGGGUUAAGUCCCGCAACGAGCGCAACCCUUGUCCCUAGUUGCUACGCAAGAGCACUCCAGGGAGACUGCCGGUGACAAACCGGAGGAAGGUGGGGAUGACGUCAAGUCCUCAUGGCCCUUAUGGGUAGGGCUUCACACGUCAUACAAUGGUCGGAACAGAGGGUCGCCAACCCGCGAGGGGGAGCCAAUCCCAGAAAACCGAUCGUAGUCCGGAUCGCACUCUGCAACUCGGGUGCGUGAAGCUGGAAUCGCUAGUAAUCGCGGAUCAGCAUGCCGCGGUGAAUACGUUCCCGGGUCUUGUACACACCG